rnacentral:lncRNA from 11 species
CAGUGGAGCUCCAGAUGAUCACAGAUGUGGACUGGCUCAGGCUGAACAGCUGAGCCAGCCACCAUUCCUGUCAAUAAAUUAAGAGUGCUGUCCCGGCAGCAGACUACAUGACAGGAACAGCUGAAAGACUGCAUUUAGCCACCAUUCCUGAAGACGCGUGCUGCACAGCAGUAGCCUAUACAACAGAACCAGUCGAAAGGCUGCAGAAUGCCACGACUAAGAAGGCAGUGCAUGAGAUCUACACGUCAGCAUUCAACAAAUACUGAAGGAGUCAACCCUCAAAAAGUUGUAUUACGCACAGAAGACAACCAAGCAGUAGAGUUCCAGACCAAGGAAAUACGUGUCAAUGAAACUAUGGAAAAAGGAAAUGAUAUUGAAACAGAGAUGAACUACUUCAGUUUUCCAAAUAAACCUGAAGACAAACAUCUAGUUACUUUGAUCCAAAAGUCAUACAAUAAAACUUUGUUGUUGACGAAAGAAUCCAGUGUGUUGAAGGCAGUUAAUGUGCAAAAUUUUGAAGAGAAAAAGGUAUGUGAUUAUCAUGAAUGUAACUCAUUCUUCAAAUCCAAAAUGUUGUGA